UGGGGAAUUUUGGACAAUGGGCGAAAGCCUGAUCCAGCAAUGCCGCGUGUGUGAAGAAGGCCUUCGGGUUGUAAAGCACUGUUGUCAGGAAAGAAAUGGCUCUGGUUAAUACCUGGGGUCGAUGACGGUACUGGAAGAAUAAGGACCGGCUAACUACGUGCCAGCAGCCGCGGUAAUACGUAGGGUCCAAGCGUUAAUCGGAAUUACUGGGCGUAAAGCGUGCGCAGGCGGUUGUGCAAGACCGAUGUGAAAUCCCCGAGCUUAACUUGGGAAUUGCAUUGGUGACUGCACGGCUAGAGUGUGUCAGAGGGGGGUAGAAUUCCACGUGUAGCAGUGAAAUGCGUAGAGAUGUGGAGGAAUACCGAUGGCGAAGGCAGCCCCCUGGGAUAACACUGACGCUCAUGCACGAAAGCGUGGGGAGCAAACAGG
rnacentral:rRNA from 1 species